CCAUUCCAUGUUUUAAGGGUUGUUAAAACACACAAUUCAUCAUCACAGGUGUCCAACAAUCCUUCUGGAGAAAGCUACUGGUCCAACAGUCCUCCUGGAGAGAGUUACUGGUCCAACAGUCCUCCUGGAGAGAGCUACUGGUCCAACAGUCCUCCUGGAGAGAGUUACUGGUCCAACAGUCCUCCUGGAGAGAGUUACUGGUCCAACAGUCCUCCUGGAGAGAGCUACUGGUCCAACAGUCCUCCUGGAAAGAGUUACUGGUCCAUCAAUCCUCCUGGAGAGAGCUACAGUACUGGUCCAACUAUCCUCCUGGAGAGAGCUACAGUACAGGUCCAACAGUCCUCCUGGAGAGAGCUACUGGCCCAACAGUCCUCCUGGAGAGAGUUACUGGUCCAACAGUCCUCCUGGAGAGAGCUACUUGUCCAACUGUCCUCCUGGAGAGAGCUACUGGCCCAACAGUUUUCCUGGAGAGAGUUACUGGUCCAACAGUCCUCCUGGAGAGAGUUACUGGUCCAACUGUCCUCCUGGAGAGAGUUACUGGUCCAACCGUCCUCCUGGAGAGAGCUAUUGGUCCAACUGUCCUCCUGGAGAGAUUUACUGGUCCAACGUCCUCCUGGAGAGAGCUACUCGUCCAACUGUCCUCCUGGAGAGAGUUACUGGUCCAACAGUCCUCCCGGAGAGAGCUACGGGUCCAACAGUCUUCCUGGAGAGAGUUACUGGUCCAACUGUCCUCCUGGAGAGAGUUACUGGUCCAACAGUCCUCCUGGAGAGAGCUACAGUACUGGUCCAACAGUCUUCCUGGAGAGAGUUACUGGUCCAACAGUCCUCCUGGAGAGAGUUACUGGUCCAACUGUCCUCCCGGAGAGAGAUACAGUACUGGUCCAACAGUCCUCCUGGAGAGAGCUACAGUACUGGUCCGAGAGAGCUACUGGAAUCGAUUUACUUCAGUGGCUGACAAUUACAGCGUUGAUUGAUCUGACAUGUACUCAAAUAGUCAAUUGUGGUAUAUGUCGAACAGAGGGCGCCAGAGUACAGAUAAUGCUCAAUUGCCUUAUUUUUUUUUUAACAAACGCGAAGCAGAAUUCGCUUGGAUGGAAUGGCACUCUGGACCAACUCUAG
rnacentral:lncRNA from 1 species